GGGACGUUAACUCAAUUGGUAGAGUAGCGGACUUUUAAUCCGUUUGUUUGGGGUUCGAGUCCCCAACGUCCCACCA
rnacentral:tRNA from 1 species